rnacentral:lncRNA from 1 species
UCGCAGUGCUGGUCACCGCUGUCACUGUCGUCGUCUUCGCGCGGUGCUGCUCGCCGCCGUGACUCCCUCCCGCCGUCACCGCAAAUCUCCAGUUCAAGCUACCAAAUGUCGUCAGAUGAACAUUUAACGGAGAACAACGAUUCAGACAACGAUCCCGACAAUCCAAUUCAAGAGGUAUGUUUGCUUCCAAAUUUCAGAUUUUGUGUGCUUGUUAUGCCCGAUUUUGGGGAACACGUUUCCAAAUUUCAGAUUUUGAAUGCUCGUUUGAAAUGGUCGAUUUCUGGUUUAUGUGGAUGAUUGCUCGAUUUAUUGUUUAUUGGAUGAUUGCUCGAUUUCUUAUGUCUUUUUUUGUGUCGAUUUUCUGAAAAUUUUCCCAUUACCCUAGUGUUUGAAAUUGCUCAGAAUGCUCGACAUGCUCGAUGCGAAACAAGCGAGCAUUUGUGUUUAAAUUUUGUGUAGUUGAAUGCUCAGAUUUUUGGAUCUCUGAUUUUGUGUUUAUUGAUUCAUGUUGUGAAUGAAAUUAUUUCUGAUGUCUGUUUUGGUGUCGCUUUUUCUGAAAUUUUCCUAUUACCGUAGUGUUUGAAAUUGAAAUUGCUCGGAAUGCUCGACAUGCUCGAUGCGGAACAAUCGAGCAUUGUAUAUUAUGCACUAAUGCUCGACUACUAUUUUCGAGCAUGUCGAGUAAUGCGAGCAUUUGAACAUUUUGCACUAAUGCUCGACUCUUUGUUUCGAGAUGUCGAGUAAUGCGACAUUUCUACAUUUUGCACUAAUGGUCGGCUACUCUGUUUCGAGCAUGUCGAGCAAUGCCGAGCAAUGUCGAGCAAUGCGAGCACAGUCUACAUUUUGCAUGUGAAUACUUGUCUUGAUUCCAAUUGAUUUUUGUAUGUCAACACUUGUCUUCAUUCUAAUUUACUUUUGUGUUGUGGACAGGGAGGAUGGAAGUGGAAGAGACCUCUAAUGAGAGGUGUUUCUUGUACAAUAGUGACAUACACGAAGGAUUCAACCAUUAUGAAUGGUAUCCGUAGAGUUCUAUCAGAUAUUGGGGAGAAGUCGCACUUAAGCAAUUUGAGAAAAGCUGCUUUGGAAGAUUUUUAAAGCUACCGGAUUCAAUUAACAAAUGCAAUCAAGCCAUUCAUCACGUCAUAUCACACAAAUAAUAUUUGGUGAGGAAGCAGAUAAAACGGCGCUGUGGUUUAGGAUAAACAACCAAAAUUUGAGGUUCAGUCGUUUUGAGUAUGCUUUAGUGACGGGACUCCAAUUUGGAGAAAGUGCUUUUAAUCCCUAUGUUGAGCAUGAAAUACAUGAACACUCAUUAUAUCAUAGGGAG